AUUGAACGCUGGCGGCAGGCCUAACACAUGCAAGUCGAGCGGAAACGAGUUAUCUGAACCUUCGGGGAACGAUAACGGCGUCGAGCGGCGGACGGGUGAGUAAUGCCUAGGAAAUUGCCCUGAUGUGGGGGAUAACCAUUGGAAACGAUGGCUAAUACCGCAUGAUGCCUACGGGCCAAAGAGGGGGACCUUCGGGCCUCUCGCGUCAGGAUAUGCCUAGGUGGGAUUAGCUAGUUGGUGAGGUAAGGGCUCACCAAGGCGACGAUCCCUAGCUGGUCUGAGAGGAUGAUCAGCCACACUGGAACUGAGACACGGUCCAGACUCCUACGGGAGGCAGCAGUGGGGAAUAUUGCACAAUGGGCGCAAGCCUGAUGCAGCCAUGCCGCGUGUAUGAAGAAGGCCUUCGGGUUGUAAAGUACUUUCAGUCGUGAGGAAGGCGGCGUCGUUAAUAGCGGCGUUGUUUGACGUUAGCGACAGAAGAAGCACCGGCUAACUCCGUGCCAGCAGCCGCGGUAAUACGGAGGGUGCGAGCGUUAAUCGGAAUUACUGGGCGUAAAGCGCAUGCAGGUGGUUUGUUAAGUCAGAUGUGAAAGCCCGGGGCUCAACCUCGGAAUAGCAUUUGAAACUGGCAGACUAGAGUACUGUAGAGGGGGGUAGAAUUUCAGGUGUAGCGGUGAAAUGCGUAGAGAUCUGAAGGAAUACCGGUGGCGAAGGCGGCCCCCUGGACAGAUACUGACACUCAGAUGCGAAAGCGUGGGGGGCAAACAGG
rnacentral:rRNA from 1 species